UGACAGUGUCUUUGAAAAACUGUUCUGUUGCCCUGAAGCCACUUGAUAUCCAAAGUUUUCUUCAUCCCUCAACCACAGCAAGCACUGACCCUCACAGUGACAGCAUGUGGGCAAUUCACUGUGCACUCCUGAGUUACACAAAUAAGGAUUGAUUUGAUCAUUUCAAAACAAGAAGGCCACUGCAAAAUUCAACUAAUGCAUUUUCUUCGCUGAGAGCUCCUCCUCUGCCAGCAGUACCUGUCCCUCUCUAAGAAAAGGAUUCUCAGAAGUAGGCAGAUCGUAAGAGCUAUGACUGAUGAUGAAGCAAAGAUAAAAAUCGUCUUCAUGACUUGCAUGUGCAGCAGAGGAAACCACAAGUUAUUCCCUGCGAGCCGGAAGCAGGCGGAUGUGUUCAUGGCCAAAGGCAGUAGUCCUCAUUUCUGCCUGUCACAUUUUUCAGCAGUUCCAGUUGCCUGUGGUCAACUGAUGUCCCAAAAUAGGUGAGGUCUCAAAAUAGGUAAGUACAAGAAGAAAUUGAGAGAGAGAGAGAGAUAGAGAGACCGCAUCACAGGUAUGUAUGUACAGGAAGAAAACAUAGUAUAUAUAUAGGAUUUCGUGCUGUCCAUGCUUUCAGGCAUCCACUGGGGGUCUGAAACUUGUUCCCCUGGGAUAAGGGGGACAACUGUAUGCACAAUUCCUUGUCCAAAGGACUCAUCCUCCAGGGAGGAAGGGAGAAGGGUGAAGAUGCUCAGAGCAGAGGUGGCCACCGGCUCUCCCAGGACAUUCCGUCCAUUUCUGGAAUGUCAUUAUGCUUCAGUGAGAUUGUGCCGGAUACUCACUACUGCUCAACGGCCACUCAGUAGAAACGAAAACAAGUGCUCUUUGUACCUUGUUCAGCUCUACCCUGAGUGUUCUACGGGAGAAACUUCAACCCUUGCCCAGAAGUGUGGACAUUGCGCUGCCUCUUUCUCUCGCAGGUGUCAUUCCUGAGCAGGGAAGUUGUGAUCUGGGGCCAGAAUGAAUGGCCCUGGUGACUUCUUACUCAACUGAUCCCACACCAGUCAGAAGGGGCCAUGAAGGCAGUGGCAAAGGAGCCACAGAUGGGCAUGAAAUGGGCACACUGACCAUCAAGGUCACCACUGUGAGAAAGCAGGUAGCCAACAUGCAAGAAGUGACAGAGGGGCUCCCAGCAUGGUGCCUGACACCUAGAGACAACCAAUACUUACUGCAUGCGUGAAUGAAGGAAAUGCGUACUUGGCUCCAGAAUCGUCCAUCGCUGGCUGGCACGGCGUUCCGUUGCUUAGAGGGUUGUAUGGGUUCAUUGGCUGUGUCUCGGGUUCACCCCUGCACAAGGAGAAAAAUGACGACUGCCCUGUGCAACCCUGGGUCAUCUCAGGAGAGCCAUUCCCAGGUUCAUAGCAAGCACUCCUGUUACUCAGACGGGCCGCCUGCAUCAAGCCCCAAGGAAGCACUUAUUAGUCGAAAAAAACAAAAAACAAAAAAACCAGAAAACAGCCAGUGAGACUAUUUUACAAACAAGUGAAGAAUAGCAACUGAAAGCAACAAUAACUACAACAUAAAUCCUUCCACAAAUACUUGGGAUUUCAUUUCCACUAAGGAUAAUGAUGGCGUAGAAGGCAUGUUUGUGGGAGUUACGCACACGGGGAAAAAGGUGAUGAAAAUAAUAAACCAACAAAUAAACAAAAUUCAGUUAAUCAAAACAGAACAAAAUAAAAUGAGCCAACCAGCGUAUCUGAAUGUAAGCGUAAUAAUUGUCAUUGGACGAACCUUUGCCAAAUCAAAUUGGCUUCUAGCACACAGACUGAUACUUUGGGAUGUAAGCGGUGUUCUACCCACAUAAUUCAUUUAGUUGCAAAGAAUGUAACAAAUAAUGCAAUUAUUCCAGAGGAUCAUGGUGAGACAUCUAUUUGGUGGUGACUUAAGCAGAAUGCCCCGAUUCAGAAGAGUUAGACCAGUCUCUGGAUUUACGGCCACUCAUGAACACUGCAGUGAAUCUCUGGAUUUACAGCCAGUCACGAAAACUGCACUAACUCUUGGGACAUCUGGGUUCCUUGUCUUUUGUCAAAAUCCCAGGGAAUUCAACUCACUGAAUCUGUUGGUCAAUUCAAUUCCGCCAUUGGUCAGUAUGACUCGGCUUUUGACAGAGAGUUUUACUCAAAGACUUGCAAAACUUCCUUCCUGCAAGAUUUCAGAAGCAUAGCAAGCGUUGCAAAAGGAAACUACCUUAUAAAUUGUACAAACCCAGCAUCGUGUUCUUCGCUUGUCCUUCCCUGAAUUUACUGGAAAAUUAUGUUGUGAAACCUAAAUGCAAAUUAAUCUUUCUUAUUGCAAAUUAAACACAAAAUCCAUUUUCAUCUGAAUUCAAUGGGAAACAGAAAUUAUUUUCUUAAAAAGUAAAUAUCCACCACUCUGUAAUAAUUGUGAUCCGCUAUGGCUUAUUUGUCAUGUCUGGGGCCAUGGACUCGGUCCUCUGCGUACCUUACCUCUCAUCCUGCAAUAAUCCUGAACGGGUUCCCAUUGCCUCCAUUUUAGAGGGUGGAGAAUGGGACUGGCCCUGUUCCCACAGCUGCCUCCCCUUGCCAUCCUUGAGCCUUGAGAAGGAGCUGCUUACACAGCGAAGAAGGCCGGAAGGUCUGUGCCACAUUCUUCGGUACCGUCUGUGGACAUUACUGUUCCAUGCAGCGGAGGCUCUGCUCAGCAUUUGUUGAUCUUACUGUACCUCCCCUCAGAUCUAGGGGAACUUGCUGGGAGCCGCCUCAGAAAUGGGGGACUUUCUAGUAGUCUCUUGCCCUACACAUCCUGGAGCAGCUCCUGUCUCCUGUCUCUGCCGUAUGACAGGGCACGAUGACCUUUGAAUGCACGACUUUGAAGUUUGGAUCCUAAGCUGACUGUUUUAAAUCAGUAGCUAACCCUUAAGUUCUCUUUGAUUUACAUGAAUGCAAUUAUUUAUAUAUUUGAAUGUUGCUCAAAGGCAAUGUACCAUGAGGAGUUAGAUUAAAAAAAAUAAAAUAAAACCCAGCAAACACACAUAUGUGUCAUGGUGAGCCCACUUGCUCUAGCUUCUGAACUUGUGAGUAAAUCACCUGUUUAGGGAGGAUAGUACAUUGCACAGGGAGGGCGGGGGGUGGCAGUGAAGGAUUCUCCCAUUUCCAUCUGAAAGAGGAUAUGGAAGGCUGCAUUCCACUGCAGCCUCAACCACCCCGCUUUCUUGUCUCCUCAGCAACAGAAAAAUGCCACCUGGGUCACGCCGCCUGGCUCUAGAGUGAGUUAACUGAUGUCAGUGCAUGUCAUUAACUAUCUCGCACAUCUGGAAGCAGAUCUUGCACAACCAAAUGACAUGUGGUAAAGCGAAACUUAAGAAAUCAAGGGGAACAGAGCUGCGCUGGGCUGAUACACGCAAGUCACCCAUAAAUGUGCUUGUCGUCAACAAAGGGCAAAUCUUGGAAAAAUGGCGUGUAACCCUGUGUUCAGUUACCCGUUAGCCAAGCCCUGGAGCUUUGAAAGAAGCUCAUUGUUUGUUCAUAGCAGAUCUGAAUC